rnacentral:lncRNA from 1 species
CUUCCAUACUGUUCAUCUUGCUGAUAAAUAUAACCUAAAAUUUUAAUUUGAUGCUAUUCAAUAUAAUUUCCGAUUUCACUGCUUAGAGUUUUAGCAUCAGGAAAGCACUAGAUCUAAAUUCUGAUUUCCUUUCACUUUCAGAGUCUGUCAAAUAACUGAGCAGGUCAAUUUAACUACAGACAACUAUGACGGUAAUGCCUAUAUAUCUUUUAAGCUAAGAGAAAAAUGGUCUUACAUGACAUGCUGGCUGUUUUAGACAAUGAACAAAGUGUGUGCAUAAACUGGUUCCCAACCACAAAAAAUCCUGAAGAAAUUAACCAGAUUAGGAGACAUCUAUAAGACUGGUUUGGAUGCUUCCCUGCAUUAGAGGGGUAGAAACGUCUGUGAGUUUUAAAAAUUAAAAUCAUGCAUUCUCCGCUGGCACCGUCGCUGCUGCCUGCUCCUCCUUCUCGGCCAUGGCAUUCACGUUCAUGGCCUUCUGUUACAUGCUGGCGCUCAUCUUCUCCGCAUUCUGAUUAUAGCAUUUGAUGAACUGAAGACUGAUUACAAGAAUCCCAUAGACCAGUGUAAUACCCUGAAUCCUCUUGUACUUCUAGAGUACCUCAUCCAUGCUACUUCUGUGUCAUGUUUCUUUGUGCAGCAGAGUGGCUUACGCUGGGUCUCAAUAUGCCCCUCUUGGCAUGUCAUAUUUGGAGCUUGAUCUAUGUUCUGGUGAGCUCUUAGAACAACACCCAGAAGAAUUGGUCCAGUAAGUGCAUGCAGAAAGCCACCAAAUGAAGGGAUUCUAUCCAGGAAGAUCCUGUUUCCAAGAGUAGCCUAUGGAAUCUGAUUAGUUACUUUAAAAAAUGACCCCUUAUUUUUUAAAUGUUUUCAUAUUUUUGCUUGUGGAAAGACUUUUCAUAUGUUAUACUUGGAUAAAGAAUUUAAAUGCAAUUACAUAUAAAUUAAUAUAAAAUGAUUACCUCUGGUGUUAACAGGUUUGAACUUGCAUUCCUUAAAGAACAGCCAUAAUCCCUUGAAUGAUUGUAUUAAUUAUUGACUAUCCUUAGUCCAGUGGAAGCUUUUGUUUAUAGGAACUUGUAGGGCUCAUUUUGGUUUUAUUGAAGUGCCAUCUAAUGAUAAAUUAGCUGUAGAUAUCAGAUGCUUCUGAUGAACUGAAAAUAUGUAUCUGACUUGUGGGAAACUUCAUGGGUUUUCUCAUUUAUCAUGUAUAUAUUAUAUAUGGACGCAUUUACAAAAUAUGAAGAGUGAGAUUUUCUUCCCUUCAACUUGAUAUUAUCCCUGUAUAUUGCAUGAGUGAGAGAUUUCCCAUUAUUUCCAUCAGAGUAAUAUACUUGCUCUAAUUCUUAAGCAUAAGUGAACAUGAUAUAAAAAAUAUAUGCUGAAUUACUUGUGAAGAAUGCAUUUAAAGCUAUUUUAAAUGUGUUUUAAUUUGUAAGACAUUACUCAUUAAGAAAUUGGUUAUUAUGCUUAAUGUUCUAAUCUGGUGGUAAAGGUAUUCUUAAGAAUUUGCAAGUACUUUAGAUUUUCAAAACGGAAUGAGAGAGAACAUUGUAUACCCAUCCUGCUGGUCCCUUAGUGCAAUACAAUAAAACUCUGAAAUUAACUUAUUUUCAGUGCAUUGUUUUAAAGAUUACAAAUAGCUGUUUCUUACACUUGCUUAAUCC